CCACACCUGCUGCAACAUAUGGAAGUUCCCGGGCCAUGAGUAGAAUCGCUUUGGCAAAGGGAGAGACAUUAUAAACCACCUAAGGAGGAAACAGUGACUUCCUCCUUGGCACCCGAACUGAAUUUAAUCUCUUUCAGGUUUAACAUCCUGUGGAUUACUACACAUCCUCUUAGAUUUUAUUUUACUUUUUCAUCUUCCUCAGUUACAUUAAAAAAAGAAAUCCCUUCCCCCCACUUUGUCUUAAUCACUCCUUCUUCAAGUCAAAAAGGACAACCGUGGACUUCCCUUGUGGCUCAGUGGUAACGAACCUGACUAGGAUCUAUGAGGAUGCAAGUUCGAUCUCUGACCUUGCUCAGUGGGUUAAGGAUCCAUGAGCUGCAGUAUAGGUUGCCGAUAUGGCUCAGAUCCUGUGGAGAAUAAUUUUUAAUGUUGGAGAGAUGAGUGAAUAUAUCUAAAAAUAUAUUUUAAAAAAGCCAAAACUAUAAAUCUUCUAUAUAAUACACAUUAUGGGAAAUAAAACUUAGCAAGGCUUUUGCUGCUGCAGAUAAGAAGACAGAAGGGAUUUCCAGAGAGACCCCAGGAAAGGGGAACAGCAGUAGAAGACAAUGUCUGGAGAUUAAAAUUUCGCUUUGUCAGAAGGGAAUAAGUGAACUUGAACCAAAGUCUCUCAAUGUGACUUGAUGUUUCCAUGGUGUAUGAAUCCAUUGAAAAAAAAAAGGACAGGACUUCCUGUUGUGGCGCCGUGGAAACAAAUCCGACCAGGAACCAUGAGGUUUUGGGUUUGAUUCCUUGCCUUGCUCAGGGGUUAAGGAUCUGGCAUUGCCAUGAGCUGUGGUGUAGGUUGCAGAUGUGGCUCGGAUCUGGUGUUGCUGUGCCUGUGGUGCAGGCCGGCAGCUAUAGCUCUGAUUCCCUGACCUGGGAACCUCCAUAUGCCACGGGUGCGGCUCUACAAAGACAAGACAGAAAAAAAAAAAGGACAGAUUUCAGUUUUUGACGUAAAUAGAAGCAGGCUGAACAGGACCAAGCAUGGGACAUGCCACCGUGGCAGCUUUGCCGCUUGGCAGCAGUCCCGGAUCUGGCGUAGGGCUGAGGUUUGUGUGGAGUCCAGGGCAGAGCAUCUGAAGGAUCAAAGAGUAUGGGCUGGAGCUCAGCAUGAGGUGAGUGGGUGGGCCUGACCAGGAUGCUCCCACAGGCAGGCAGAGCAUGACAUCAGGGACCCCAGUGGAGGCGGUCCUCAAAGCCAGCAGGAUUGGCAGCUGAUGGAGAAGGACAUCUGCAGGAAACUUGGGCUCAGAGAAGGGAACUGGUCAGAGCCAUGUGGGUCUCGUUUAUAGACCUUGAACUCUAGUCCCUCCCUUAGGUCUGUGUGGCUGCAGGACAGAACCUGUCAAGGCCACUUCAAAGGACCCAAACACUUCUAUUUAAGAGCUUCCUAGACUGGAGGUGGGGCUGGGCCUAUAGAUAAGGAUCAGAUGUCACUUGCUGGGAGAAAUAGCUGCCAAGGCUGAAAAACAACACAAUUCCUUCUAGAAUCUGCAGUUUCUACUCUUGUCUCAUCUUCCUAUUUUCUAGUCAUUUUUAGUUACUACCAGUACCCCAUAUUGCUUUACUUAGCAAAAAACAAACAAAGCCAAUAUAUGCUAUUAAAACUGCAUCCUGCAUCCACUAACCAUAUGAUUUGAAAUGUCCUGGGCAGCCCCAAGCCUCAAUUAAAUUUAUUGUUUUUGGUACAGAGAAGCCAUAAAACCAACUUGAUUUUUUAAAAUAAUUUUUAUGUCUUUUCGUAUAAAUUAACAAAUUUUGAAGACAAUCCUUUGCACAUUUUCCACUUCUGGUUUUGGAAAGCUCUCCCUGUUUUUUGGAGUCUUAAGAAAGAUCAUUGUCGUUGGGUUGAGAAAGUGGUCACAUGGGUGACAUUCUUUUUCUAAUGAAAAAUGCAUCCCGAAUUUGAGACGGCCACACUGGAAGUUCCUUCCAGGCAAGAUCUGUUUGGAAUACAUCAUAGUGCGAUACACAGAACCUUCUGUUAAAUGGUAUUUGAUCAAUGUCAAGUGUGGUUAAAGCAGGGGAGGCUCUUCAAGCAUUGCCUCCCCCACCCCCAGACUGGAGCCACUGAGCCACUGAGUAUGUUAUCCUUGAAACCAAAACAGGAUCAACAUUGCCCAAGGCAGGGCCACUGCCUUUGGGCAUUUGGCUUUUCAUAUGUGUUUAGUUUAAGUUCCCCUCUUCCUUUGAACAGCAUGCCCUGUUGCAAAAAGGGAGGCUCCCCCCCACACACACACAAAAAAAAAAGAUAAAAAGAGUUCCCGUCAUGGUGCAGUGGUUAACGAAUCCAACUAGAAACCAUGAGGUUUUGGGUUCGAUCCCUGGCCUUGCUCAGUGGGUUAAGGAUCUGGCGUUGCCGUGAGCUGUGGUGUAGGUUGCAGAUGCGGCUCAGAUCCUGCAUUGCUGUGGCUGUGGCAUAGGCUGGCAACUACAGUUCCAAUUCAACCCCUAGCCUGGGAACCUCCAUAUGCUGCGGGAGCAGCCCUAGAAAAGACAAAAUAAAUAAAUAAAUAAAAUAAGGGACUAUAAAAGCAUGACUAUGUUGGAGUUCUGUGGCGCAGUGGAUUAAGGCUCCAGCAUUGUCACUGCAGCAGCCUGGGUCGCUGCUGUUGUGUGGGUUCUAUGCCUGCCCUGGGAACUUCCACAUGUCAUGGGUACAGAGUAAAAUAAAAUAAAAUAAAAUGUAUGACCGUCAAUGUACCAUCCUCUCUUUCCCCUCAGCUCCUCACAACCUCCUCUCUGCCCAUAUUCUACGUAUAGUGAAUAUCAGAACCAUCUCCCUAGAUUUCUAAGUCAGAUGUCACAGAGUCACCCUGCUUUAAGGACACACUUGAACUUGUGUGGAAAACCAUGCCUUGUCUAGAGGACACACCUCUGAGUCUUCUGAGUCCAUGAGGACUAUUGCACAACCCAGUAAAUUGUGUAUAACCGCCUGAAUGCAAAAUAAUUCUUAGUUCCAGAUGUGCCAAUUCUGUCCUGUCUUGUGGAGGUUCAGAAUUCCCUCCCCCACUGUAGAAGAUGCCAGUUCUGCCUCCUUUUGCAGAUUCAUUUCAAUAUUCCUCCUCAAUAAAUGUGACUGUUUUUCAAUCUCUCCCUUGAACCAAUUAAAACAUCUGCCUGGUUCCUUUAUGAGUGAAAUAAAAUCUUUAACAUGUGUUCAUUUUAUAUUCUUAUGAGUCAUGCUUUUACCUUUUUUUUUUUUCCAAAAUUAUCCUUUAACAGUUUUUUUUUCUCACUCACCUCCUUCUCAUCCUUCACCUAGUUCACUCCAUUCUCUCUUUCUGAACGUCUCUCAAAUGUGUCUCUUUCCCUGAGACAGCUCCCCACCCCCCACAACUGCCUCAGUCCAGGUCACUGUCAUUUUGCACAGUGAUAACUGUAACAGCCUCCUAGUUGACACCUCUUCUUCAACCUUGUGUCCCCUAUGCCUCCCCUACGCUACAGCUCCUUAAACUAAAAUCAGAACCUUUCCUUUUCCUACGCAUAACUCUUCCUAUACAUCACCCUGGCCCAAUGGCUAUGCCAAGAAGUUGGGUCGUCAAGAGUCAUUGUGAGCUGACCCUACGCACAUUUCUUCCCCACCCCCCUACCUUCCUCUUCAACCUGAAGGUCAUUCACUAUUUCUUCUUAUACUUUUUAUACCUUGCUGACUUUUGGGCCUUGUCUUGUUUUGUUUGUUUGUUUAUUUGUUUUGCUUUUUAAGGCUGCACCUGAGGCAUAUGGAGGUUCCCAGGCUAGGGAUCAAAUCAGAGCUGUAGCUACCCACCUACGCCACAGCCUCAGCAAUGCAGGACCUGAGCCGCAUCUACGACCUACACCAAAGCUCACAGCAACACCAGAUCCUUAGCCCACUGAGCAAGGCCAAGGAUGGAACCCGAAACCUCAUGGUUCCUAGUUGGAUUCAUUUCCACUGUGCCAUGAUGGAAAUCCCUUGUGUUCUUUCUUCUGCCUGCCUCUCUUCCCCAUGCUUUCACUAGGCUAGCUCCUAGGUACAAUUUUAUCUCAGCUUAGAUGUGUAGGGGAGGAAAAAACCUUCUCCCGUCUACCCUCCUAGCUUUAAUGUCUAGGGCCUGGGAAUCAACUGAAAUAAGACAUAUUAAAGAAAAACAAAGUUCCCUGGUGUUAAAGUGGGUUAAAGAUCUGGCAUUGCCACUACUGUGGCUUGGGGUUUGAUCCUUGGCCAUGAAACUUCCACAUGCCACAGGUAUGGCUGAAAAAAAAAAGAAAAAGAAAAAAAAAUGGGGCUCAAGAAUUUGAAUUGAUGAUUGGAAUUUAUAUUUGAUGUUAAGCUAAACAAAGGGAAAGGGGCUUGGGGCUUCUGGGUUGGGGGCAGUGUUGGGUGAGAGGAAAGGAAAAAAUGCAUAAUAAAUUAGGAUCAUCUGGUUAUGCUCAUUAGAGUUGCCUCUCAUUAGAGUAGCUAACUCUCUUCCUGCUACAGAGACAUCUUUACAAAUGGAAGUUUACAUUAUAAACUUGUAUUUCCUUUUCAAAAGGGGAAAUCUAUACUUUAUAUUCAGGCAGUUGGAGGAAGUAAAGAGCUUUUCCUACAUCUGUUGGUUCUCAGUUGACUUUAGCUCAAAAUAAUCCAUAUGCCAAAGGGGCAUAUUUUGGGGAGAUGUAUUCUGGUACAUUCAGAUGUCACUUUCUAUGGGAAAACUUGUCCAUUGUCCUGUUCUUUCUCUUCAGUGGGGCUAUACAUAUUAUCUCCCAGAAUACUAAUCUCCAUGGCAACAUGAAUUGUCUUCUUAACUUCUGCAGCCACCAGUGCCUAGUUCAAUACCCCCAGUAACUAAGCAGUAGGAUUUAUGUGACUUGGGGCCUAGACACUUUGACUACAGCCCAGGAUCGCAGUGGUGACUUUUUACUAUGAGGAUUUUGCAGUAGUUUUAAAUUGUAGAGCUGGACAGCAUCUAGAGAUUGCUCUCCCCAAUCUCUUCCUUUAAAAAAAUUUUUUUUAUUAAAGUUUACAAUGCUGUGCCAAUUUCUGCUGUACAGCAAAGUGACUCAGUCAUACAUAUAUAUAUUCUUUUUAAAAAAUAUUAUUUUCCAUCAUGAUCUAUCCCAAGAGAUGCAAUCUCUUCUUUUAAAAAGUUACAGAUGGCCAACAAGUACAUGAAAAAAUGCUCAACAUCACUGCUUAUGAGAGAAAUGCAAGUCAAAACUUAUGAGGUGCUGGAGAGGCUGUGAGAAAAGGGAACCCUCCUGCACUGUUGGUGGGAAUAUAAAUUGGUACAACCACUAUGGAAAACAGUACAGAGGUACCUUAGAAAACUAUACUUAGAACUACCAUAUGAUCCAUGAAUCCCACUCUUGGGU
rnacentral:lncRNA from 1 species